CCUUUCCCGCCCGAUCCCUCCCCUUGCCCGGUCCUUAGCCACCCCCGCGCUGCAUGACGUAGACCCUGCCUCUCUCUCUCGUUCGCAUAGACUUCAUUUCAUACCAGUCCCAAUUCCUGGAAUUCCAGCGUUCCUUGCUGGGGACCGAAAAGUACAAUAUUCCUUCCAAAAUCGACCCCUAAAAUCCACCGGUGCUGCACUCCCCUCCCUUGCCAAUGAUCCUCAGCGCCAUGUUCUUUAAAACUUCCAACAGCCAGCUGUGACAUCUUACAAGAUUUGGAAACUGAAAAGAAAGAAAAUACCUCAUGACAAAAUAAAGGCAUCACCUGGCUUUUUUUUUUUUUUUUAAAUCGCUAAAGUAUAAUUAAACGGUUCUUCAGAAGGCCCCCUUGCUGUCUCCCCCAAGACUCCGAGUCUGCUCCCCUCCGCCCCCGAACCCCAGACUGUCCCCCCCAGCGGCACCACGUCGGCAGACUGGGUCCCAGCGAACUCCCCUGGGGGGAGCAGCGAGGCAC